rnacentral:rRNA from 1 species
UGGGGAAUAUUGGGCAAUGGAGGCAACUCUGACCCAGCAACGCCGCGUGAAUGAUGAAGGUCUUCGGAUUGUAAAGUUCUUUUCUAAGGGAAGAAGAAAGUGACGGUACCUUAGGAAUAAGCCUCGGCUAACUACGUGCC